ensembl:lncRNA
GCAAAUUAGACUGCAUUAUAUUGAUAUGUUAUUAUCAAUUUCAACUCUGAUUAACUGCCAAUUAACAUAUGGUUGUUUCCAGAGAUGAAACAAUUGAGAACAGUGAACAGAGAGAUGAAGCCUCCUCACCCUGAAACUGCUUAUCUUUGCCCAGAAGUGACUUCUAACUUCCUUAGACAGGUCUGGGGUAUGACCUGGCUGUCAAUAUUCUCCAGCGACCUUCCCAGGAUUAUUUGCAUUUCUUUGAUUCUUCAUUUCAAAGCAAUAUGGUGGCUUCUGAUCAUGUUUGUACUGAUAAAAAUAUUUUCAUCUGAAAGUUUAUACAAAAGUGGAGAUCCUGUGAGAUCUCCAGAAAGCAUAAGGCUCUUGUUGGCCAAGAUGCCAUUAGUGGAGGCCUGUGGAGAGAGUGGGCUUGCCCUCAUUUUGGAGGGAGUUCUGCCCUCUGGUAGAACUCAACAUGUGUUGAGCCCCUGAGAGAGAACUCAGAGAAAUGAUUAUAAGAAGAAAGAAAAAAAAGAAAGGAAGAAAGAAAGGAAAAAAGAAAGAAGAAAGAAAGAAAGGAAGAAAGGAAGAAAGAAAGAAAGAAAGAAAGAAAGAAAGAAAGAAAGAAAGACUUUGAAAAAAUUAAAAAAGAAAAUGAGGAUGAGAUGGAGGGGGAUUAAAAAUCAGACAACAAUGCACCCAGCUUUCCUUGGACAACAGGAGAGCUGAAAGAAGCAAGAGGAGGACGUGGAUAUUCAGCAGGAAUAUUUGGGAGACAGGAAGACACAUGCAAAACUCUCAAAACAGAAUGUGAGCCUCAGGAGGUCAAGUUUCUGUGCUUUGAUGUGACCCUCUGUGGCCUCAUCCAUGAUCUCUCUGUCUCUGGUGAGAUUUCCGGCCCACCCUUGUAAAUAGACUUUUUUUUAAAACUUAAGAAAUAUGGUAAAUUUAAGUGAAAUGUUUAAGGUGAGCCUUUGUUUUUCUUCCUAACAUAAAAAAUACAUUUUAUUGAAAUCAAAUGCAAAUUUCACAUAACCAAAAAUACCUUUGAUGGAAUAUUUUAAUGAAGAAACCUUGGCAAUUGCCUCUUUGCAUGUAUCAGCAGUGAAUCUGAGUUGAAAAUGUGUUUGCUAGGAAAUGAGUUCUGUGAGCAGUCAUCGCACAUUAAAGUUGUUUCAGGAUCAACAGUUUUCUUAUAAAAUGUCCUUAAAUUUUAUUCACCUCAAGGCAAUUUAGACAUCAAGCAGACUUGGGAUCGAAUCUUAGUUCCACCCCUUGUUGCCUGAGAAGGCUGUUAACCUCUCUAAGCCUCAGUUUACUUAACUAUGUUAAAGGAACAGUAGUAACUUACAACAUUAUUAAAAGGAUUUAGGGUAAUUACCUGUGUAACAUUUCUAGCACAUAGUUGUGGUAAGUUUUAAUUCUUGCACAUGGUUACACAGUUACUUAUGGAUUGUGUAGUGUGGAGAAGGGGUACACAUUUCAGGAGCUGAAAUAUUGAGAGAAUGAAUGCACAGAAAUAAUUCCUGGCACAAUAGGCUAGAAAUAUCUGAGAAGAAUGAACACCUUCUCUUUCCUCAUUGAGUCAGAAGGGGGAGAGGCCUUCCUGGAGGAACAUUGGACUCUCUGGUGUCACCUUGGGGAACCCAUGAUUCCACUGGGAGAUAAGGAGGGAUCUAUUUAACUGAACAAUUUACACCAAAAAGGGGGUUUUGUGUGGAGGGGGAGACAAGGAAGUAAUGGAGUUCAGAGCUAAGCUGACUGAAUAGUCAACACAAGGGUGAAGAAUUUGGUUAGCUCAGGUUCAGAUAUGAAUAAUAUCUGUUGAGGACCCCAUGCAAUCUGGAACUGAAGAGGAGGCUUUAGUGUGGCUCUUAUGUAAUUCUCCCAUCUUGAAGUCAUUGCCCAGUGUACUAAUUAGAGAGUUGGGAUCCAAACUUCACAGAAAGAGAGAAUAUAUUAUUAUUUUAUUCAUUUGCUCAUUCAAUCAUACAUUUACUCAUUCUCAAAACAUUCAUAAGACAACUACUACUGUCACCAGGGACUGCCUAACAAGCCACAAUAAUCCCAUUUUCUACCCCUGCUUCCGGGUGCAGCCUGCCUCCAGAAUCUAAGGUGGGGUGUCAGAAGCCACAAGCUCCAAUUAAGCCUCUAUGACCCACUUGUUGACAGGUUUGAUCCAAUUUGGACACCAUGCUAACCCUCCAGAUGACCUCAAGAUCAUUGCCAUCUGACUAUAAUAAAACAUACACCUACUAGCA